UGUAUCCAAAACACUAACCAAGCUUUUUCUUGCUUCUCAAAACUUUGAUUGUGUAGCACAAGUCCGUAUGAGUCGUUGGAUUUGUAUCUUCUAACAAGGAAACACUACUUAGGCUUUUAAGAUCCGAUUGCGGUUCUAUUUCUUAUACUUAAUCAUACACAUGACAUCUAGUCAUAUUUGAAUG
rnacentral:sRNA from 1 species